rnacentral:rRNA from 1 species
GACGGAGGCUGGGUGCUCGCUUCCGCAAGGGAGUGCGGUGCUCGUGUCUGCGUCAUCCUUCUAGGCGACGUGUGUGCUCGGUUAACUCCGGGUGUGCACGGCUGUCUAGGAAUUUUACUUUGAAGAAAUUAGAGUGUUCAAAGCAGGCAUACCGCUUUGCAUACAUUAGCAUGGAAUAAUACUAUAGGACUUUGGUUCUAUUGUGUUGGUCUAGAACUGAAGUA